rnacentral:rRNA from 1 species
UCGAGAAUCUUCGGCAAUGGGCGAAAGCCUGACCGAGCGAUGCCGCGUGUGGGAUGAAGGCCUUCGGGUUGUAAACCACUGUCGUAGGGGAGCAAGGGGAAACCUUGAGCGAUCCUAGGAGGAAGGACCGGCUAAGUUCGUGCCAGCAGCCGCGGUAAUACGAACGGUCCAAACGUUAUUCGGAAUCACUGGGCUUAAAGCGUCCGUAGGCGGCUCGGAAAGUAGGGUGUGAAAUCCCACGGCUCAACCGUGGAAUUGCGCUCUAAACUAUCGAGCUAGAGGGAGAUAGAGGUGAGCGGAACUGAUGGUGGAGCGGUGAAAUGCGUUGAUAUCAUCAGGAACACCGGAGGCGAAGGCGGCUCACUGGGUCUUUUCUGACGCUGAGGGACGAAAGCUAGGGGAGCGAACGG